GUCCCAAAUUCGAAGUAGAGUAGAUAAGUAUGAUUGAAUGACUCUACUUAACCACUCUACUUCAAGUUUGUGCCC
rfam:Haemonchus placei strain MHpl1 genome assembly, scaffold: HPLM_scaffold0005523